rnacentral:rRNA from 1 species
UGGGGAAUAUUGCGCAAUGGGGGAAACCCUGACGCAGCAACGCCGCGUGAGUGAUGAAGGCUUUCGGGUCGUAAAGCUCUGUUGCAAGGGAAAAAGAAAGUGAUUGUACCUUGCGAGAAAGGACCGGCAAACCUCGUGCCAGCAGCCGCGGUAAUACGAGGGGUCCUAGCGUUGUUCGGAAUCAUUGGGCGUAAAGAGCUCGUAGGUGGCUUAGUAAGUCAGGUGUGAAAGCCCAGGGCUCAACCCUGGAAGUGCACUUGAAACUGCAUAGCUUGAGUACGGUAGAGGUGAGUGGAAUUCCUGGUGUAGUGGUGAAAUACGUAGAUAUCAGGAGGAACAUCGGUGGCGAAGGCGGCUCACUGGACCAGUACUGACACUGAGGAGCGAAAGCAUGGGGAUCAAACAGGAUUAGAUACCCCAGUAGUCCCUGAGCGGGCUGGCAAGGCGCAU